CAAUAGCGUAUAUUUAAGUUGUUGCAGUUAAAAAGCUCGUAGUUGGAUUUCGGAUGGGACUUGCCGGUCCGUCGUUUCGAUGUGCACUGGCCAGUCCUAUCUUGUUGUCGGGGACUAGCUCCUGGGCUUCACUGUCCGGGACUAGGAGCUGACGAGGUUACUUUGAGUAAAUUAGAGUGUUCAAAGCAAGCCUACGCUCUGAAUACAUUAGCAUGGAAUAACACGAUAGGACUCUGGCUUAUCUUGUUGGUCUGUGAGACCAGAGUAAUGAUUAAGAGGGACAGUCGGGGGCAUUCGUAUUUCAUUGUCAGAGGUGAAAUUCUUGGAUUUAUGAAAGACGAACUUCUGCGAAAGCAUUUGCCAAGGAUGUUUUCAUUAA
rnacentral:rRNA from 1 species